GUUUCCGAUUCGAUCAACGCUUCCAUUCCAUCUGCUCCCAAGGAUUUCGGAAAGAAGAAAAGGGCUAACCGUUCUGCCAAACUGAAGCAGUGCAAGCUCGAUGCCCGUCGAGAGCAAUGGCUUUCUCAAGUUGCCUUUAAGAACAAACGAAGCAAGGAGGAGCUGAAUGGCCAACGAAUGUCCCCAUGUGAAAACGAGAGGAAGAAUGCCAUAGAGAGUUUAGAGACAAGGCCAAGAGGAAGAGGAGAUGAAGAAGAGAAGGAAAACGGAUCGAUCUAUCACGAUUUUGAUUCUGAUUCCCCUUCCCACAGUCCCACCGGCAGCAGCGUUCUCAGCGGCACCGAUGUUGGCACCAAUUGCACGGGCUCCUCCACCAGCAGCAGUAGUAGCAGCAGCAGUGGUGGUUGUUGCUCUGGCAGGAAAGAAAAGGCGGAUGAUGAUGGCUUGGACGAUUGGGAGGCUGUGGCCGAUGCUUUAGCUGCCAAUGAUGAUAACAAGCAAGAAA
rnacentral:misc_RNA from 1 species